GGCGCUUACCACUUUGUGAUUCAUGACUGGGGUGAAGUCGUAACAAGGUAACCGUAGGGGAACCUGCGGUUGGAUCACCUCCUUACCUUAAAGAA
rnacentral:rRNA from 9 species